GACGAACGCUGGCGGCGUGCUUAACACAUGCAAGUCGAGCGGUAAGGCCCUUUCGGGGGUACACGAGCGGCGAACGGGUGAGUAACACGUGGGUGACCUGCCCUCAGCUCUGGGAUAAGCCUGGGAAACCGGGUCUAAUACUGGAUAUGACUCCAUGACGCAUGUUGUGGGGUGGAAAGCCUUGUGCGGCUGAGGAUGGGGCCCGCGGCCUAUCAGCUUGUUGGUGGGGUGANGGCCUACCAAGGCGACGACGGGUAGCCGGCCUGAGAGGGCGACCGGCCACACUGGGACUGAGACACGGCCCAGACUCCUACGGGAGGCAGCAGUGGGGAAUCUUGCGCAAUGGGCGAAAGCCUGACGCAGCGACGCCGCGUGAGGGAUGACGGCCUGG
rnacentral:rRNA from 1 species